rnacentral:rRNA from 1 species
UACAGAGGUCCCGAGCGUUGUUCGGAUUCAUUGGGCGUAAAGGGUGCGUAGGCGGCGGGGUAAGUUUGAUGUGAAAUCCCGGGGCUCAACCCUGGAAUUGCAUUGAAUACUACCUUGCUAGAGUACCGGAGAGGAAACUGGAAUUUACGGUGUAGCAGUGAAAUGCGUAGAUAAUCGUAAGGAAGACCAGUGGCGAAGGCGAGUUUCUGGACGGUAACUGACGCUGAGGCACGAAGGCCAGGGGAGCAAACGGGAAUUAGAGUACCCGGAG